UGUCAAUAUCCCGUGAUAGGAAUUUACCCGUGGAAUUUACUAAUCUUCGGAGUUCCAGAAAUGUUAUAAAAUAAAAACCUUAAAAGGGUAACACUAGAGAUGUACCAAAAAUUGGAAAAAAACACAAAUCCGUAUAGUCGACCAAGAAAGUGGUCUACCAGUUUUGAUAAAAGUUUCUGCGAGCUCUAACGAUCGCUAAGGCUGACUUGACACAUGGCAUGACAUACCUGCAACGACGGCUAGGAGACUGUCUCUCACCCUGCCGCUCACCCUGCGGAGCGUGGCAGCGCAGCGCUUGUGCAAAGGGGAUAGCAGGAUAAGCUAAGAAAAAUUGCCCCCAAAGCUUUGAGUUGGAAACUAUUACCAGUUGAUGCCCUGUCAAGAGAAAAUGCUUCAUACCAAUUUUUAACCCUCUACUGCCAUCUGGAAUCUCACGGCGUGCAUUUAACCCUAAAACGUUUUUAUUUUUUUCUCAAAAAGUAUAAAACGGAUAAAUAUGAAAUUUUAACU